rnacentral:rRNA from 1 species
AGCGGCGGACGGGUGAGUAACGCGUGGGUAACCUGCCUCAUACAGGGGGAUAACAGUUAGAAAUGACUGCUAAUACCACAUAAGACCACAGCACCGCAUGGUGCGGGGGUAAAAACUCCGGUGGUAUGAGAUGGACCCGCGUCUGAUUAGCUAGUUGGUAAGGUAACGGCUUACCAAGGCGACGAUCAGUAGCCGACCUGAGAGGGUGACCGGCCACAUUGGGACUGAGACACGGCCCAA